rnacentral:lncRNA from 1 species
UGAAUGUUGAUUUUAAAUUCUCAAUUUGGCACUAUAUGAUGCAUUUGUUGAUUGUGUCAUAUGUAUAUGAAUCUACCAUAAUUGAAGCAUAGAGGAAAAUUAUUUUCCAUGUUUGAUGUUUUGGAUUUUGUGGAUUCAUUUGUGUGAAUAGGAAAGUAACUCGAUCAAUAAUAGUGUAGUCUUGAAAGUAUGAAACCUUAAGGCUCCAAAUUGAGUGACAACAAAACAAUUUAGUGAAGGAACAU